rnacentral:rRNA from 1 species
CCUACGGGAGGCAGCAGUGGGGAAUAUUGGACAAUGGGCGCAAGCCUGAUCCAGCCAUGCCGCGUGUGUGAUGAAGGCCUUAGGGUUGUAAAGCACUUUCACCGAUGAAGAUAAUGACGGUAGUCGGAGAAGAAGCCCGGCUAACUUCGUGCCAGCAGCCGCGGUAAUACGAAGGGGGCUAGCGUUGUUCGGAAUCACUGGGCGUAAAGCGCACGUAGGCGGAUUGUUAAGUGAGGGUGAAAUCCCAGGGCUCAACCCUGGAACUGCCCUUCAUACUGGCAAUCUCGAGUUCGAGAGAGGUAAGUGGGAAUUCCGAGUGUAGAGGUGAAAUUCGUAAGAUAUCGGAGAC